UACCAGCUCUCCGAGUCGUAGGGAUGAUUAUUGGGCUUAAAGCGUCCGUAGCUGGCUUAGCAAGUCUCCUGUUAAAUUCAGCGACCUAAUCGUUGAGCCGCGGGAGAUACUACUAGGCUAGGAGGCGGGAGAGGUCGACGGUACUUUCGGGGUAGGGGUGAAAUCCUAUAAUCCCGGGAGGACCACCAGUGGCGAAGGCUGUCGACUAGAACGCGCUCGACGGUGAGGGACGAAAGCUGGGGGAGCGAACCGGAUUAGAUACCCGGGUAGUCCCAGCUGUAAACUAUGCGGGCUAGGUGUUGGGGUGGCUACGGGCCACUUCAGUGCCGCAGGAAAGCCAUUAAGCCCGCCGCCUGGGGAGUACGGCCGCAAGGCUGAAACUUAAAGGAAUUGGCGGGGAGCACCACGAGGCGUGAAGCUUGCGGUUC
rnacentral:rRNA from 1 species